rnacentral:rRNA from 1 species
UACGGAGGGCGCAAGCGUUAUCCGGAAUCAUUGGGUUUAAAGGGUCCGCAGGCGGCUUUAUAAGUCAGUGGUGAAAGCCUGAUGCUUAACAUCAGAACUGCCAUUGAUACUGUAAGUCUUGAAUUCGAUCGAAGUGGGCGGAAUAUGACAUGUAGCGGUGAAAUGCUUAGAUAUGUCAUAGAACACCGAUAGCGAAGGCAGCUCACUAGGUCUGGAUUGACGCUCAGGGACGAAAGCGUGGGGAGCAAACAGG